rnacentral:rRNA from 1 species
CAAAUCCCAGAAAUAACGUCCCAGUUCGGAUUGCAGUCUGCAACUCGACUGCAUGAAGCUGGAAUCGCUAGUAAUCGCGAAUCAGCAUGUCGCGGUGAAUACGUUCCCGGGUCUUGUACACACCGCCCGUCACACCAUGGGAGUCGGAAAUGCCCGAAGCCAGUGACCCAACCUUUAAGGAGGGAGCUGUCGAAGGCAGGUCUGGUAACUGGGGUGAAGUCGUAACAAGGUACC